GCCCGGCUGGCUCAGUCGGUAGAGCACGAGAUUCUCGGUCUCGGGGUAGUGAGUUCAAGCCCCACGCUGGGUG
rfam:Felis catus isolate Cinnamon breed Abyssinian chromosome F1, whole genome shotgun sequence.